rnacentral:rRNA from 1 species
CAGCAGCCGCGGUAAUACGUAGGGGGCUAGCGUUGUCCGGAUUUAUUGGGCGUAAAGAGCGUGUAGGCGGCCUUACAGGUCAGCUGUGAAAACUCGAGGCUCAACCUCGAGACGUCGGUUGAAACCGUAAGGCUAGAGUCCGGAAGAGGAGAGUGGAAUUCCCGGUGUAGCGGUGAAAUGCGCAGAUAUCGGGAAGAACACCCGUGGCGAAGGCGGCUCUCUGGGACGGUACUGACGCUCAGGUUCGAAAGCGUGGGGAGCAAACAGGAUUAGAUACCCUGGUAGUCCACACUGUAAACGUUGAUUACUCGCUGUGUGCGAUAUACAGUACGCGGCCAAGCGAAAGCGAUAAGUAAUCCACCUGGGGAGUACGCCGGCAACGGUGAAACUCAAAGGAAUUGACGG